UGGUCGUGUUGGGGUAUCUGUCUGGUCGUGUUGGGGUGUCUGUCUGGUAGUGUUGGGGUGUCUGUCUGAUAGUGUUGGGGUGUCUGUCUGGUCGUGUUGGGGUGUCUGUCUGGUAGUGUUGGGUGUCUGUCUGAUAGUGUUGAGGUGUCUGUCUGGUACUGUUGGGGUGUCUGUCUGAUAGUGUUCGGAUGUCUGUCUGAUAGUGUUGGGGUGUCUGUCUGAUAGUGUUGAGGAGUCUGUCUGGUAGUGUUGGGGUGUCUGUCUGAUAGUGUUGAGGUGUCUGUCUGGUAGUGUUGGGGUGUCUGUCUGUUAGUGUUGGGGUGUCUGUCUGAUAGUGUUGGGGUAUCUGUCUGGUCGUGUUGAGGUGUCUGUCUGGUAGUUUUGGGGUGUCUGUCUGAUAGUGUUGGGUGUCUGUCUGGUCGUGUUGGUGUGUCUGUCUGGUAGUGUUGGGUGUCUGUCUGAUAGUGUUGAGGAGUCUGUCUGGUAGUGUUGGGGUGUCUGUCUGGUAGUGUUGGGGUGUCUGUCUGAUAGUGUUGGGGUGUCUGUCUGAUAGUGUUGGGCUGUCUGUCUGGUCGUGUUGGGGUAUCUGUCUGGUCGUGUUGGGGUGUCUGUCUGGUAGUGUUGGGGUGUCUGUCUGAUAGUGUUGGGGUGUCUGUCUGGUCGUGUUGGUGUGUCUGUCUGGUAGUGUUGGGUGUCUGUCUGAUAGUGUUGAGGAGUCUGUCUGGUAGUGUUGGGGUGUCUGUCUGGUAGUGUUGGGGUGUCUGUCUGAUAGUGUUGGGGUGUCUGUCUGGUCGUGUUGGG
rnacentral:lncRNA from 1 species